UCGAAGCACUCCUUUGUGAAGCCCGGCUUCGCACCAAUCACGGCUGCCCAUUUCCGAAGUGCGCUGGGGUGAGGCAGUUUCACAUGUUUGCGCAGAAAUUUGUAAGCUUUGGCCGAAUAGAAAUGCAGUGUCAAGGCAAACUUGCGCACAUCUUCCGAGUAGCUGUUGUUUGCCUUUCCUGUUUUUUUCAGCACAAUGUCUCGCAGUGUGCCACUGAAGAUGUUGUCCAGGAUGGCUACCGCUGGUUGAGCUUGCGCUUGCUGGCAGCUAGAAGCAUCCUGUCCCGUCGUGGAGACACAACUGUGUAGCUGUGGUCGCCAGAGCAGGUGGCCGGCCGUGAGGAUGGAGCUUCGGGGCUGCUUGACGCUGCUUGAGAAUCUGCUGUGGAUGGGGCGUGUGGAGAGGGAAAGUCAGUCUGGCGGGACCGUUGAGAUCGGACCACUUGGGAGGUGGAGGGAAAGUCAGUUCGGGGGUGUUGUUGAGGUCUGUCCGUUUGAGGGGUGAACAGUGUGGGCACUGCUCCUUGUUUGAGGUUAGUCUUGCCAACAAGCCUGUGGAAGCAGUCAUUUUCGAAGUGCUCUGAACACAGCUUGGAGAACUUGGUGGGAGUCCAGUGUAUGCAUUCCAUUUUCUGCAGCCAUGCCUGGAGGAGUUCUGGAUGUCUCAGUGGAAAUCUGCGGGAGACAACGAGGUCGGACUGCCAAAACACCGAAACAAUGCUGUCUUUCAAUAAAGCAAAUACAUAUUUGUGCAUUUCUAA